UAAAGACAGAAGCAGAUGCCUGUGUAGACAGUUUAAGAACCCACGGUGUAUUUGAGGAAGGAAAGAAAUAACCUGGUAUUAGAAGUAACUUUCCUGGCUGGAGAUUGCAGAUCCCAGCUGGAGGAACAAUGAAGACACUUAUUGGAAUGUUCCUGUUCUUGUGGCUGCAGCUGGACUGGUUGAGUAGAGGAGAAGAGAUACAGCAGCACCCUUCUUUCUUGACUGUCCGGGAGGGAGGCAGCUUUGUUAUCAACUGCACUUACACAGACAGUGCCUCCGACUACUUCUUUUGGUACAAGCAAGAACCUGGAAAAGGCCUCCAGUUGCUUAUAUAUACUCUUUCAAAUGUGGUCAAGAAACAAGAACAAAGACUCACCGUCCUAUUUAAUAAGAAGGACAAGCAUCUUUCCCUGCAAGACACAGCCACCCAUCCUAGGGACUCGGCCACCUACUUCUGUGCAACAAGAGCACAGUGGUCUCCAGGCACCUGCAGCCUGCCCCCAAACCUAAGACUGGGGUGGAAGCCCCACUCUUUUUCCCUUUGUCACCAGCCUUCAAGCCAGAGAUUUUGCCAUAUUCCAUCUUAAAUAAACAUUCUUUUAAAAAAAUAUAUAUAUGUAUAAAUAUUCUAAAUGAUCUUAAAGAAUGUCAGUUUCAGAAUGACCCAAUAAGUGUAAGAACAUUUGGAAUGAACACUUAAGGGAGUUAGUGAUUUCUUAGUUAAGUAUCUGGGCUUUAAGGUUCAUGUUUUGGGUACUGUUCAGAGUUACACUUUACAAAGGACAAUGUCAGGGAGUACUCUUCUUGAUGGAAAGAUUUUUUACCUUUUAUUUGUUUAAAAAGAUUUUAUUUAUUUAUUUGACAGAGCGAGAGAGAGAUCACAAGUAGGCAGAGAGGCAGGCAGAGAGAGAUGGGGAAGCAGGCUCCCUGCUAAGCAGAGAGACCAAUCCGGGGCUCAAUCCCAGGAGACCAAUGCGGGGCUCGAUCCCAGGACCCUGGGUUCAUGACCUGAACUGAAGACAGAGGCUUUAACCCACAGAGCCAUCCAGGCGCCCUGGUUUUUUACCUUUUAAUAAUAGCAUUCAUUAACUUUUUCUGAUUAUAGAAAUAUUAACUCCACGUUAUAGGAGGAAAACGAAGAAUAUAUAUAUAAUAGGAAGUUCAAACAUAACGCUAUUAUCCAGAUAAAUCAUGGCUAACAUCUGGUAUACCUUCUUUAUUAAACUCUUGUUAAAGAUUAUAAGCACACAUGGGGCGCCUGGGUGGCUCAGUGGGUUAAGCCUCUGCCUUCAGCUCAGGUCAUGAUCUCAGGGUUCCGGGAUCGAGCCCCGCAUCGGGCUCUCUGCUUGGCGGUGAGCCUGCUUCCUCCUCUCUCUGCCUGCCUCUCUGCCUGCUUGUGAUCUCUCUCUCUCUCUGUCAAAUAAAUAAAUAAAAUAUUAAAAAAAAAGAUUAGAAGCACGCAGACUGGUAUUUGAACUUACUUCCACUUAACAUUAUAUCAUAAUCUGAGCAUUCACGUUUAUCAAAUCUUAAGAAAUUGAACUUUUAAUGAUUUUAUGAGUGAUUUUAUGUCACCAUUUUAUUUCUUCUUUAAUCAUUCCCUUAUAUUUGUGGGAAUGAUUAAAUACUUUUCUUAAUUCAAAUGUUACCCUUUAAAUAGCUUGUUAUAUGUGGUAGCCAAUAAUAAUAAUACCAAUAUAAAUGAUAGUAAUAACUAGUACAAAGACAGUGGAAAAACAAGGAAUGGACUUGAAUAUGAAAGACUUUGAAUAAAACAAAAGAGGAAUUCUAAAUUAUGGGGAAGAACAGGAUUAUCCUCAAAUUCUGUUGAAUCAAUUGUUCAGAUAAGAGGUUCUCAUACUCUCUCCUGAAGCAUCCCUACAGGGGAGGGCCACCAAACAUGACCUUUUCCUUCUUGAAAUCUGGAUGUGUGGGCAGAGUCGCCCAAAGUAGUCUGAUGAAAGUACAAACAAUCUCAUGUUUACUUUAAAAUUUUUGAGUUAUCAUCUUUAUUUUGCUGCAUUAUAUAUCCAUGUUAAUUUUAACGCGACAUAAUCUUGUAAAUAAUUUACCUAUUCUCCAAUUUUUCAGUAAUAAAAGUGCUCCUAGCUGAUGCAUGAUAUUUAUUACAUUUUAUCUUGAGGCAAGAGUACUCUAAUUUGAAAAGCACAAAGUUGACUAUUUGAAAAUGAAAGUGUUGCAAAAUCAAUAGGCAAUCAAUAAAUAUUGCUUGGGCAAAUAAAUGAAGUACCUCACAUGAUGAAAUAAAUUCCAGAGAGAUUAAAGUAAUUAAAUCAAGAGUUGUUAGUAAAAAAUAUAAAUGUGUGUUAGUCAACAAACUGAAGAAGAAUUUUCUAAACUUAAGAACAGUGAAUGAAAUCAUGGGAAAAAUAGAAUAAUUAAUUACAUAAAUAUUAAAAACUAAUUUAUUACAUGAAAAAAAUGACCAAAAUUACAUUCAAACCAGUUUACUGAUAACUUGCUGUUAAUCUCACAAAAGAUUAAUAAUUCUUCUGCAUAAUUUCUAUAUGCUUAAAAAGGAAAACAUUAAUAUCGAAAUAGGUAAAUAUACAGAAGAUGUGAUGAGGACACUUGCACAGGAAAAAAAUAAAUGGUUCAAAACACAUGGAAAAUGUUUAAACCCACUGGUAUUCUUAAAAAUGUAUAGAAAUAACUUUAAAAAAACAUUAGGGAGUUGUAGGAAUAAUUUAAUAGCAAUAUUAAAGAACAGAGAAUUUGAGCAAAAUGUUGUGAAAUAAACAUACACUAGUGGGAGAAUAACUUUGUAAGCUAUUUUGGAAAGUAAUUAAAAAACAUGACUUAGUAAAAACCA